CCCCUUCCAAAAGCACUUGCUUUGUCUGCUCAGUGGCUGGGUGAGUUGUCGUAGAAGGGAAUAUUGAUGUCAUCACUUGUGGUGAGGCAGCAGCAACACUAUGGCUGACUGACCUCAAUCAGUGAUGAGACAACC
rnacentral:snoRNA from 1 species